rnacentral:tRNA from 1 species
GAGAAAGGCUCGCUGCAGCAAAGGCCGCUACCCUUAGCCUACUUCGGUUGAACUCCGAUGCUCUCUCG